AAAACCUCUUUGUCGAAUCAACCAAAUGUAAAGGAGCUACUGGAAGUUUUAAAGGAAUUGAAAGCAGAUGUAUCAGCCAUCAAAACCAUUUCAGCAAGCCAUGGUGUUGUUUUGGAUAAAUUGGUGCAGAACUUCUUACCAAAAACCUCCAAUUUAAGGAUUUUACCAUUUAAAACGAUUGAAGAGAUUAAGUCUGCAGACAACAUUUUAUCACAGUACCCUCAUGAUGAAUUGGUCACAUACGUACGCACUACUGUGGGUGUUACUCCAGUUAGAAAAAUCGUUCCCUUCUUAUUUGCGGAAUGCACUCUGCCUUUCAUUAAUUGGGAUGGUCGCCAAAAAAAAUUUGCUGUAAAAUCAUUAACUUUUUUCAAAGAAAUUCUUUUUCGUGCUGUUCACGGUCCCGAUAUGGACUUUUCUAAAUAUGACGGUGUAAUGCGGAUGGGGUUUCGAACCUCGAAAAACAAAAUGUAUAAAAAUAAAUCCAAUCAACCAGAAUUUUAUGAUUCGAAGAUUUCAUUGUUUGAUUAUUUUUAUUUAUCCAAAAUGUGUAAAACUAGAAGUAGAAGUAAUUAUUUUAAGUUUCAAGGUCAACCAUUAAACACCUCUCGCGUUUUCUUUCUGUUGUACUGUGAAAUAAAUAUAUAUAUUUUUUUUUUUAAACAAAAUUUGCGAAAUUAAAACAUAUAAUUUGUUAUUGAUAGAUCUCAUUUAUCCAUUAUUUUUUAGUUAAACAAAAUGUGAAUGUAAAUUCUACAUUUAAUGUAUGAAAAACUUAGUAAUCAAAAUGAAUUCAAAUAUUCUUACA